CCAAUAGCGUAUAUUAAAGUUGCUGCAGUUAAAAAGCUCGUAGUUGAAUUUCGGGACCAAUAUGUCGGUCGUGCCUCGGUACGUACUGGCAUUAUCGGUUUCUACCUUCUGAAGAACCGCGAUGUCAUUAAUUUGGUGUCGUGGGGAAUCAGGACUGUUACUUUGAAAAAAUUAGAGUGUUUAAAGCAGGCUAACGCUUGAAUACAUUAGCAUGGAAUAAUGAAAUAGGACGUUUGAUUCUAUUUUGUUGGUUUCUAGGAUCGACGUAAUGAUUAAUAGGGAUAGUUGGGGGCAUUAGUAUUCAAUUGUCAGAGGUGAAAUUCUUGGAUUUAUUGAAGACUAACUACUGCGAAAGCAUUUGCCAAGGAUGUUUUCAUUAAUCAAGAACGAAAGUUAGGGGAUCGAAGACGAUCAGAUACCGUCGUAGUCUUAACCAUAAACUAUGCCGACUAGGGAUCGGAUGAUGUUAAUUUUUUAAUGACUCAUUCGGCGCCUUACGGGAAACCAAAGGGGUUC
rnacentral:rRNA from 1 species